GCCAAGUCCAUUUUAUUGCAGUAUAUAUGA
rnacentral:piRNA from 1 species